rnacentral:rRNA from 1 species
AGUGAACGCUGGCGGUAGGCCUAACACAUGCAAGUCGAACGGCAGCACAGUAAGAGCUUGCUCUUACGGGUGGCGAGUGGCGGACGGGUGAGGAAUACAUCGGAAUCUACUUUUUCGUGGGGGAUAACGUAGGGAAACUUACGCUAAUACCGCAUACGACCUACGGGUGAAAGCAGGGGAUCUUCGGACCUUGCGCGAUUGAAUGAGCCGAUGUCGGAUUAGCUAGUUGGCGGGGUAAAGGCCCACCAAGGCGACGAUCCGGAGCUGGUCUGAGAGGAUGAUCCGGCAAAAUGGAACUGGGAACAGGUCCCGACCCCCAAGGGAGGGAGCAGGGGGGAAUUUUGGAACAUGGGGGCCAGCCCGGUCCCACCAUUCCCGGGGGGUGAAAGAAGCCUUCCGGUUGUUAAACCCUUUUGUUGGGAAAGAAAAGCCGCCGGUUAAUACCCCGCUGUUUUGACGGUAACCAAAGAAUAAGCACCGGCUAACUUCGUG